AAAUGAUUAUUUGCUGCGCCGAUUGAUGAUCUCAUGUGUUGAACAUGGUUUUGACCAAGCUCUUUGUUUGUAUGAAAUUUAAAUUUUAGUUGUGAAAUCUGGGUUCAUGUGUUUUAAUUGAUUGGUAACUUACGCGCAUUUUGCGAACUCUAGCAUAAUGUUUAUUCCAGCAAUCGCUACGUUGUUAGCUAUACUACUUGUUAUAAUAUAUUUAAUAAUUUGUUGGGCAGUUAUAUGGUUUUGUAGUCUUUCUCGACAACGUUUCUUCCAAGUGCUGCUCCAUGACGAUGUUCUUGAAAAACCAAAGGAAUCACAAAAGGUGGAAUGAAGCACUUGUGUUAUCAAGGAUGCUGGAAUCCAAGAUCGUCAUUACUCUGUUUUCACCAAUUUUGAUUCUGUGAUUUACUUAUAGCACUCUGUGAUCCAAUAGCAAGAAAGUGAAGUGUAAAUAAUAUGAAUUAUGAAUUCAUUUUAUAAUCAUUUCCCUCAUUCAAAUUUUAUCAUUGUAUAUAUUCAUUUGUGUAUAUUUUUGUAAUUUGUGAUCUUAUGUUUCAUGACAGUUUUAUUUAACUUGCUAGACACCCAAUUAUUUUGACCAGAAACUUCUUGGCUCUCAGUAACUAGCUCUUAAAUGUAUAUCCUUAUUUUCUGACAUGAAAUCAAAUUUUUGUAAUUAUAAAAAAAUACUUAGAAAUUUUUAGAAAAUUUAGAAAUGCAUAUGUGUGUUGAAAAUGAAGAAUUAGCAAACACUUUAAUCAAGUGUAUAUACCUUUUUAUUUAUUUUUUAUGUGUUGGAUUUUAUUCUUUUACUGUUUAAAAAAAUUAUGUAUAAAAGUGCAAAAAAAUAAAGACUCUGUUUUUAUUUUGUUAU